CGAUGCCUAAACUAAUCCGACUAGCCUGGCGAUGGUAGGUACCCACCAAUGCUUUUAUGCCUAAACACAAUUAGGUUUGCUUCUGAUGCUAUUUUGAUCAGUUUUUUUGUUUUUUUUUUGCGCCAUGGACCUUCCUUGUCGCCGCUGUUGAUUGCAGCAUGAUUCCUGUUGAUCCAGGGGGCAGAUGGAACUCGAGCUACCAAAACGCACACAAGGUGUUCGACCAUAUGGUUCAGUAGGUGAAUUACGAAAAUUUUCUCUUAUUUUACAUUAAUAGGUACCUGAUGCCUGAUUGUGUUUUUUUCCCUAAUUAGCUUAUCCUCUGAUGCUAUUUGAUCAAGUUUUUAGUGACACGAUUGAAGCAUUAAGGGUUUCCUAUGAGAUGAACCCAUUUGUGUAGCUUUUGCAACUACAAGCAUGGGCUAUGCAAUAAGCUAUGCACCUGGUACCUUAUAUGAAUAUAUAUGAUUCAUAUUUUGCUAUUUCAUUACAUUUUUUGUUGACAGAUAUUAUGAUUUUUGAUUACUGAAUUGCAUUUCGUAUGCAUUUCUGGCGGCAUCUUCCAAUGUUCAUGUACCUGUUGAAAUUUUUUUUUUCUUAUCCAAUUUCUAUUCCCCAUGCAGCCAAGAGGUCCACUAUAUUUACACACUUUUGCAGAACAAAAUAAUUAAUUUAUUGUAAGCUGCAUGAAGGUCAGAGGAGCAUGCCAUCCUAAUUAAAAGUAAAAAACACUUACGGAUUUCCUGUUUCUGUUGAAGUUGGUUUUGAGGUGCAACUGUUGUCUUCAUUUUCUUCCUGCAGAUUCAGGUUGGGUCCCUUCAACGGUGAGUUAUAUCUGUACAGUUUUCAGAUAUAUCUCUUGCUAUGCAUCAUUGCUGUACAAACUUCACUUUGUUCGAUCUUCAAUCAUUUCCUUUUAUGCUCUAAUUUUUCAUAUACUCUACUUGCUUGCUACUUAUUUUUUUUUGUUUAUAUAUUUCUAAUGGAAAGAGUUAUGAGAAAUGAGAUUCUGGUGAUUAUGCCAAUGCAUAAUUUGUGUAUAUGUCCCUUGGAAAAAAAAUCCAUAUUAUUGGGGAGAUCAAAUCCCGUCUGAUCCCUGCAAUUUAGCUGGGCAGGAGCACCCCGUGAAAACUAAGGCACAGGCUAAAUUUCCCCACUGUUUGGAGGCCCACGCCACAUUCAGUUGUUUCCCUUUCUUUAUUUUUUGGUUUUAGCACAGCAAGGGGCUUCUGUACUGUAAUCUUGAGGGGCUUCUUGAGGGAUUGACUGGCUUGUCAAGGACAUCGCUUCUCUAAUCAGGUACUGUAUGCACGAUCCUAUCAUCUUAUCAUUACAAGAAGUGCAACACUACAUCAAUUCAACUUCUGUACUGAUAUCUACUUUCUUGCUAAGGUAUGAAUGGCUAACACCAGAUUGACCCAACUCCCAACACAUGUUUGUAAUCUUUUCAAGAGUUCCAGCUGCACGCCUGUCUGUAAUCUAUGGCUGCAUUUUCAAGUAUAUUCUGCUUGCUGGAGUGCUUGUUGGUUGCUUCAGUAUAUAUGAUAUGCAUGAUUUAUUCAUCUUUAAUUGGAACUAUCGAGACAGUAGCUUGGAUCCUACUUUCUUAGUAUAAGCCAAUCACUUAUAGUAUAGUGAUGUGUCUUUUCAACUUUUCAGUUAUUUGAGAUUUCAGCUUUCCUGAGAUCCCUCCAUUAGCUUUGACUGUCCCUCCAUCAGUUAUGCAUGACGGAUGUCUGAAUAUGGUGCUCAAUAGUUUGCUAGCACUGUAGUUCAAUUGCUGUCUAAUUUCAGCAAUUUGUUUUCUAAAUAUGUGUUAGUGAUCUCACAGAUAUAUCUCAGUUGCCACCAAUUUUACUUAGCUGCCUUUUCAGAAUCAAAUAUAAUUGAACCUACACCUCAGAAGUGUCUCACAAAUUUUCUUUAGAAAUUUAAACUACUGCAGUGACCGCGCUUGCAAAUAGUCCCCCAUGUUUUGCAAGAGCAAGAUUCUGACCAAGGAUUUUAGUUUUCAUGCAAACAUUCUUGUUCAAUGAUAGGUAUUCACCUGCUUUAACUAAAAUUAGCUGUCAUUGCUCUGCUAGUACAGAAUACUUCAGUCAGUAGUAUAUUUUGCUUGCUGGAGUGUCGUCUGUUUCAUUAUAUUACAGAAUACUUCAGUCAGUUGUUUGUUCUCACUAGCACCAAUUAGAGCUAGGCAUUCAGCCAUUUUUAUUCCCUUUGCAGUUUAUGUCACAUUUGAAGUGCAUCCCUAUAAAGUACAAACUCAUUGUCCACCUCUAGUUCUCUUUCAUGGCAUACAUAUCAGUAGUAAAUGGUGUUUAUCAUAUUGGCUGAGGUAAACCUCCUAUACUUCUAUGCAUUCUUCUAGACCUCCCAUCAAGAGCCUGUAAGAACACAAAUUAAUAGACCCGUCUGCCUUCUUUAAUUAUGAAUGGAAUGGAAUUAAAUUUGGUUUGCAUGGAUAAUAUUUACUGCUAUGCAUGCUUGAGAAACUUUGCUGAAUUCUAAGUAUGAUUGGCCGCCCAUAUUAACAUCUACUAUGUCUUAUUACUUACCUCCUGAUCUUGAACAAUGUGUAAUUUGCAAUAAAAAAGAGCCCAUUAAUCACCUAUGUUAUCUGCAAUGUGUUAUCUAGCUGCAUGCUUGCUCUGUAAUCUGUAGCUGCUGUUUGUAUGGUGUCUCUUUCACUUGUGUACCGCAAACACUUCUGGAGUUUGCAUCUAUUUGUUUAUUACUGUUUGUUACCUGCGAGUGUUGUCGCUAUUCUGUGAUCAACAUUAAUCUUAAUUUUUGUUUAUUGUUUAUUUGCCAGAAUUAGUGAGUGUUGAGGAUAACCAAGAGACAAGAGAGAGAAUGGUACGUUGGGGAAGGUCCUUGACUUCUGUUACUAAAAAAGGAUCUCUUAUCGCAGCAACGAUUAAGUCAAAGAGUGUAGUUUUGUGGCUGAGUAGAUGCUUAAAACAAGCAGAGAUCACAUGUAACUUUUUGUAAUAUGCUAUUCUAGCAUUUUUAUCAGUGAAGCUCGGUACUAUUUUCUUGUCCAUUGUGUUGUCUAAAUUUCUAGAAGACAUCAUGUAGCUUGCGAUGUGAUGGUCUGAUGGCUUGGUGACAGAUUUUGCUUGCUUAUCUGCAUGUCAUCACGAAUGAGCUGCUCAUGAAUAUAGUGAUGGCAUGGUCUUGUAUAAAACUUGCUUAGACAGUACACUGCUUGAUUGCUUUGACUGUACACUGCUUCACU
rnacentral:lncRNA from 1 species